rnacentral:rRNA from 1 species
GAUGAACGCUAGCGGGAGGCCUAAUACAUGCAAGUCGAACGGUAAGGUCCCUUCGGGGAUACACGAGUGGCGGACGGGUGCGUAACGCGUACGAAACAUACCUUCAACAGGGAGAUACCUCCGGGGAAACUGGAAAUAAUACCCCAUAGUAUUGAGAUAUCGCAUGAUAUUUCAAUUAAAGCUUUGGCGGUUGAAGAUUGUCGUGCGUCUGAUUAGCUAGUUGGUGAGGUAACGGCUCACCAAGGCGACGAUCAGUAGCUGGUCUGAGAGGAUGAUCAGCCACACUGGAACUGAGACACGGUCCAGACUCCUACGGGAGGCAGCAGUAGGGAAUAUUGGACAAUGGGCGGAAGCCUGAUCCAGCCAUCCCGCGUGUAGGAAUAAGGCCCUAAUGGGGUUGUAAACGUACUUUUUAUUAGGGUAAGAAAAACUUUAGAUUUAUUACAGAGCUUGACGGUACCUAAGGAAUAAGCACCGGCUAACUCCGUAGCCAGCAGCCGCGGUAAUGUCAGUG